GACGAACGCUGGCGGCGUGCUUAACACAUGCAAGUCGAGCGGUAAGGCCCUUUCGGGGGUACACGAGCGGCGAACGGGUGAGUAACACGUGGGUGACCUGCCCUCAGCUCUGGGAUAAGCCUGGGAAACCGGGUCUAAUACCGGAUAUGACUCCAUGACGCAUGUUGUGGGGUGGAAAGCCUUGUGCGGCUGAGGAUGGGCCCAGGCCUAUCAGCUUGUGGUGGGGUGAUGGCCUACAAGGCGACGACGGGUAGCCGGCCUGAGAGGCGACCGGCCACACUGGGACUGAGACACGGCCCAGACUCCUACGGGAGGCAGCAGUGGGGAAUCUUGCGCAAUGGGCGAAAGCCUGACGCAGCGACGCCGCGUGAGGGAUGAC
rnacentral:rRNA from 1 species